GGAAAUCAGUUUCAUUACCUU
rnacentral:miRNA from 15 species